rnacentral:rRNA from 1 species
GAUGAACGCUGGCGGCGUGCCUAACACAUGCAAGUCGAACGGAGUCCAGCCUUUAAGACCUUCGGGUCAAAGAGGGGAAGACUGAGUGGCGGACGGGUGAGUAACACGUGGGCAACCUGGCUCGUAGAGGGGGAUAACAGAGAGAAAUUUCUGCUAAUACCGCAUAAGCACACACUGCCGCAUGGCAGAGGGUGAAAAGAGAAUCGCUAUGAGAUGGACCCGCGUCUGAUUAGCCAGUUGGCAGGGUAAGAGCCUACCAAAGCGACGAUCAGUAGCCGAUCUGAGAGGAUGAACGGCCACAUUGGGACUGAGACACGGCCCAAACUCCUACGGGAGGCAGCAGUGGGGGAUAUUGCACAAUGGGGGGAACCCUGAUGCAGCGACGCCGCGUGAGUGAAGAAGUAUUUCGGUAUGUAAAGCUCUAUCAGCAGGGAAGAUAAUGACAGUACCUGAAUAAGAAGCCCCGGCUAACUACGUG